GGGACCGUAGGGUAGCUUGGUCCAUCCUACUAGGUCGGGGAUCUAGUGACCGGCGUUCAAAUCGCCGCGGUCCCA
rnacentral:tRNA from 1 species